rnacentral:lncRNA from 1 species
AGUGCCCUCGGGAUUUACUGUGCGUACCCUGCUCUCCGACUGUGUGGAGGUGUUAGUGGCCUGUGGAGCGCGGUGGAUGUGGGCAGCAAGCUCCGAGGAGCCCGGUUGACCUGUCGCUCAAGUGAAGCCGGCAGAAAUCCCCGAGGAGCUUUGGAAACCUGCGGCUUAGGUGGAGCCGGCGUCGCCUGGCCCGCGAGCGUGAGCGAGUUUCCUAGUAGCUGGCGCCUUGGGGACUGAAUCAACGACUCCUCCGCUUUUUAAGUUUUUUUAGGGUGUGGAUAAAGCCCGGACUCAGCCUUAGCUUCCAAAGCUGCAGAAACAGGACACCUUUAACAGCUGACUCUUGUAUCAUCAUCCUUACCCCAUUGUCAUCUGUUUUUCAAAAUGUAAUUUGAACCAGCUGUAUCAAAUCUACCUGUGGCAGUUGUUCAAAAUGCAGGUCCCUGAGCCCUGCCCCGGCAUGCCUCCUAAAGCCCAAGAUUUUAACCCCCACUAGAGUUUGAAAUUAAACCCUAUACUACACAGCAGAGAAGAACCUGGGAAGAGGCUCAGUGCUCUAGGAAAUAUAAUUCCUGAGCCUUUGGUAGUAUCUUGACCUGGACCAGCAAAACUGACAGGGAGCUAGCACCGCAGAAGUACUGUGCUUGUUGAUACCGAAGACUUUGACAGUGGAGACAUAGCUAUCCUGAUGACUCGGGCACAUUGAGUCAUAGCCCAGCAGAUUUACUGCAUUAUUAAGUAUGAGCUAAUAUGCUAUGUGAAGCAAAGAAGCCCUGUAUUUACUGCCACGCCGAGUUGAUACUCUCCUCCCUGGUAAUUACUCAAAUCAGCAGCUAGGUUUUUGGUAGGUUAUUGCUCAGACUCUUUGACCCUCCCCAAAGUCAUAAAUAUGAAUAGUACCUGGGUUUCUCGACUUGAAUCCCAGUUUAUAUGCCAGCUGAGAAAAGAAUAAAUGUUUUAGAAGCAUGCGGUGAUCCAAAUUGAAGGAAGUUUGGACUAUGGUUUUGUAAGACUAGUUUUUCCUUCAGACACUAUUAGAUUGCUUUUGUAGAAGAAGCCAACAGAGGAGAGAUCCAUGUGUAUGGACAGAGCUAGAGUGAUUGGUGCUUCAACAGCAGUCUCUUCAACUUUGCUUGAGUGUGGAGGCCACACAGAUCACAAACUCCAUUGGCUGCAAGAUACCUUUGCUCAAAAGGAGCUAACCACUGCACUGUUCCUCAGCAUAUCAAAGCUAAGCUGAAUUGUAUGCUACUAACGAUUUGGAAAGAUGAAAGAGAUUAACAGCACAAAGAUGCCAAUAAUUUUAAAUAUGAUCUUUAAAAAAAACUGCAUUCUUAAAAUGAGAGAGAUACACUCAAGGAAGAAGCAACUGCUCCAUACAUUAGCAUGUCCAAAAAUGAUAAUUAGACCUGCUGAGCUAUCUUUGCAACCAGAGAGGAACCAGCUUGAAAACAAAGCCGACACAAUGAGACGACAGCAGAAAAUGAAAAGAACUUGAGUCUUCAAUGAUGAUAAUGAAGUGAUGGACUAAACCUGGAGGGAGAAUACCUACUAUGGGCUUCCUGUCAUCUAAGGCUGCAUGGGAGGCUAUGGAUCAAAUCGGAGCUGCAGCUAAUGGCCUGGCCACAGCCAUAGCUGUAGCCACAGCCACACCAAUGCAGAAUCUGAGCCACAUCUGUGACCUACACCACAGCUCACGGCAACACUGAAUACUUAACCCACUGAGGGGGGCCAAGGAUUAAACCCGCAUCCUCAUGGAUACUAGUCAGGUUUGUUACCAGUGAGACACAACAGGAACUCCGCAUUCUUUUUUCUUUUUUCCUUUCUGUGGCAGUGAUUUCCACCACUCUAUCUUCCAGCUUACUUAUUUGUUCUUCUGCCUCAGUUAUUCUAAUAUCAAUUCUGUUUAGAGUAUUUUUCAUAUCAGUCAUUGUAUUAUUUAUCUUUAUUCUUUAAAUCUUCUAGCUCUUUGUUAAGAAUUUCUUGUAACUUCUCAAUAUGUGUCUUUUUCUGAGAUCUUGGAUCAUCCUUACUAUCAUUACUCUGAAUUCUUUUUCAGUUAUAUUGCCUAUCUCUUCUUCAUUUAGUUGUUUUUGUGUGUUCAUUCAUCUGAAACAUAUUUUUCUGUUUUCUCAUUUAGUCUAACUUUCUGGGCUUGUGGUCUCCUUUCUACAUGUUGCAGGAUUGUAGUUCCUCUUGUUUCUGGUGUCUGCCCCUCUGCUGGGUAAGUUUGGUCCAGGGGCUUGUGCAGGCUUUCUGGUGGGAGGGACUGGCAUUUGUCCACUGGUGGGUGGAGCUGAGUCUUGUUCUUCUGGUUGUCAGGGCCAUAUUAAGGGGUGUGUUUAGAGGUGGCUGUGAGCUCAGGAUGACUUUAGACAGCCUAUCUCGUUUUUAUAUUUUUUGGUAUGAGGGCUGGGGAUGGGGGGUUGUUUGAUUUUUAGUGGAUUUUUUUUUUUUUUUUUUUUUUUUUGGCUGUGCCCAUGGCAUGCAGAAGUUUCUGGGCCAGGAAUUGAACCCAAGCCACAGCAGUGACAAUGCUGGAUCCUUAACCCACUGUUCUAGGAAAUUCCACGAGGGCUAUUUUUAAUAUGGAUUGUUGCCACCUCUUUCCUCAAUGUAUGCUGGCUGUUAUCCCCUUGAUAGAAGGUAUGAAUGAUGUUUUGGUGACCAGAGCCUAUACUGGGUGUUUAUUGGAGCUGUGUUUUUGUUCUGCCCUUUAAGGGGUAGUGUCUACUCUCUAGUCGUUGGAGUAGGAGCCCCCAGAUCUGUUUCUCAAAUGUAUUUCUGAUCUGUGGCCUGAGGUAGGUGGGAUUUGAAUGCUCCUACUAGGAGAGGAGCCCCUGAGUAUUCCUUCAUUGGAGCUUUUUACCUGUGAGUGUUCUCUUGUAUGUCAUCUUUCACCUGUUGUGUGGGUUCACAAAGAGACUAUUGUUGGCACUGCUCUUGGCCCCAUCUUAACUGGGCGUAUGCUGGCAAUUGGCCCUGGUGUCUCUCAGGUGUUUUCACCAGUCCACCAGUACAUAUCCACUGAGGUCAGGUCCAAGGACUGCAGUAGUCAUGCACCUGGGCCCACUGUGGGAACUGUGGAGGCAGCUCAGACUCUGGCCUGGUCCAAUUCCUGUAUGUACAUUCCCACAAAGCCCAAAGCUGCUAAAGCCAGACCUAUCUUAGCUGCAGGAACAUUUGUUGUCCAUUCAGAUGUUCCACAGGUGCUAAAUUUACAAAGCCGGCAGCAGAGGUGAAAAUCUGUGGUUCUCACAGUCAGGAGGAGAGAUUUCAGCCUUUUCCUUAGCCAUAGGGCCCCUGUGGUUUCAGCCCCACCUCUGCAUGUGGGCAACCCACUGGAGACUGCCCCUGAGUCAGUAGGAGCACAGGAGCUUAUCCAGGAAGGAGUUGGGUGGGGCAGUGAUUCAGGCACACAGCGCACUCUGAGAGAGGAGGGUGGGGUGGCAUCUAGGUGCAUGAACCUGCCCAGAUGGAAGGCAGGCCAGGUAGUAAUCAGAUAUGAGGGCUCACUCCAGCAGAAGCUGGGUGGGACAGUGUUCUGGGCAAGCAGACCAGCCCAGGCAGGAGCCUCUCUCAGGGCCUGCAGAGGCAGGGGUCUGCAUGGAGAAAGAGGCUACAGUGGUGGCCCUGCCCGUCACGCACCACUUAACUAUGACACUUAGCCUCAGCCACUUGAGCCUCUUACCCAAAAACAUUCCCAGUUGCAGUGCUUUGCCCUCCAGCCAACUGCAGUUCUCUGCCCUGUCUGUUCUCUAAACCUUAUGUUCUAGCACCCAGCCUCCACCCUUAUCAGCGGUCACAUGUCUCAGGCUGGGGCAAAUAGGGUGAUGGCACAGAACAUCUGUGUAGUUCUCAUUCUGUCCUGCCAGCCACAUACCAGCUUCUCUGUUCUCCUCUGGGCCACCAAAGCUCCUUUUCUGUUCCAGCCAACCUCCCUGCUGGUGAGGGGAUUUCCCGGGGUGUGAGAACUUCUCUUCCCCUUCAGCUUCCUUCUGGGGGGAACAGGUCCCAAUCUGCUUCCACUUCUCUCUCUCUCUCUUUUUUUUUUCCUUCCCUUCAUCAGUUACGUGGAGAUCCCUC